AGGGUAUGAACAACCAUUUAUUUAUAACAUUAGGGUACGACGUUAAUAUUGAAGUUGACUAUUACACAUAUUCAUCAUGUUUUAUUGUUCACUGUCUAUAACUUGGGAGAUAUUCCACGAGCUUAACAUGAUGGAGCAUUCUCAACAGCUGACAGUGCCAACCUCCAUCUCCAGAGUCAAGCCCUGUGGUAGGUGACGUCUCACUCACUGUGUUGCAGCAUGUAUGGGGUAAGUUAGUGCAACAUGGAGGUAGAGCAUACGUGAACACCCUAGAGGUGUGGAUUUGCCAUCCCAAUUCCUUCACACUCAAUGAUGUAAGUGUCCUUAGUGGCAUCUUCUUCCUCCUCUGACUUCUUCACGGUAAAUUUGGCCUGAAAGCAGAACAUUAGUAAUGUGAAUAUACAUGAGAGGACAGAGGGCAACCCUAGGAUCAAAGCUAAGGAGACAGAGAGUUAAUAUGAAACCCAUUUGUUGAAAAAGUAUACACAUAAAAAUCAAGAGACGUGAAGAAAUGCAACACUUCUUUUGUGCUGGGACCGUGGUUCUUGUUCGCUGUUGUGGAGUCUGUCAGGACAGAGAAUCGGCUCCACUCCACACCCACUGACUAGCAACAGGGGACAUGUGCAGCCAAGUCAAGUGUAGUUUCUGAAGCAUUGCCUGUUGCUGGCAAGGAGAAGGCAUCUUUUCUCUUCCCUUUUGUUUUUUUCUAAAACAUGUAUCUGAACCAUUUACCUGUCAGGAAUGACAUUAUUUGCUCUCAUUAAAUUUUUCCUGCCAAUUUAAUUCUCUAAAUACGUAAUUCAGGAAGCAUGCUCAGAAAGGGUAGGUAGGGCGGAGGAGUGGCAGUGACUAAUGCCCUUCACCACUGAGCUUAACACUGUAGUUCUUGCUUACUAGCUAAAGUAGCUCUGAAAUAUGUGAUCUCUUUGACAAUGCUCUGGAAGUGCCAUUUUAAAGGCAAAUGCUCAUCCUUUUAACAAAACAAUUUAAGUCAAAACAACUGAAUAGGUUUAAGAUUUUGGCAAAGGGAUUUCAAGUAUGCCUUAACUUGUAGGAGUCUCUAAAAUACACUUUGACACCAUUACUCUGUGGUUUUCCUGACCAGCAAUGUUCACAAGUUUUCAACUUCCAUGUAUGGAACUGUGCACUGUGUUAAGUGGACAUCUCAAAAUCACUGUGCAAUGAAUGACAAACCUGAACACAGAGGAAAGGAGCCACACUCCUGUGUAGGUUUUUAUCUGCAGUUUCAAAUUACAAACAUGGAAAUAUAAAACACAAGCAGGAGACUGGGAGUCAUUUCACAUCUAUGUUUAGGCCUACUUAGGGAGCCUAAAAGAUGGUCCAGUUGAAGUCUCUGAUUUUACAGAUGAGCUAUUUGUACUGAAGCACAGAAAAUAAAGAUACUAUGGCACAAGUCACCCAGCAAAAUGCAACAAAGAGCCAGGUGUAGGUGGUACAGACCUGUAAGCCCAGCAUGCACAAGGCUGAAGUAGAAAAAUCUUGAGUUUGAAGCCAGCCUAGACUACACUUAGUAAGACCUUUUUUCAAGAACUCCCCUGCCUCUGACCUACAUACACAGUUUAAUAAGAAACAAGGGUCAUAACCCCAGUUCAGGAAACUUUCUGUUGUGUAUUCUCUUCAAGUAAUAUGUAAGUGGCUACAAAUAUACAAAGUACUGUAAACUGUAGGCUACAAUGAAUAAAACUUGAUACCAAUUAGCAAGGACACCAAUCUACAAGAGAGAAAACUACUGUAAACACAGCAUAAGUAGAAAUGGAAAUAACUGAAGGGGCUGAAGGGACAGCUAAGCACUUAAGAGCACUGGCUAUUCUUACAGAGGACCCAGAUUCAAUCCCAGCACCUACAUGGAGGCUCACAAUCACCUAUAAUUCCAGUUCCAGGGGAGUAGACAUUCUCUUCUGGCUUUUCAGGGAACCAGGCACAAAUAUAGUGCACAGACAUAAAUAUAGGCAAACCAAUCAUACAUAUAAAAUAAAAUAGAAAUAAAUGUAAAAAUAAUAGGAGGCUGGAGAGAUGGCUCAGUGGUUAAGAGCACCGACUGCUCUUCCAGAGGUCCUGAGUUCAAUCCCUACAACCACAUGGUAGCUCAUGAGCAUCUGUAAUGGGAUCUGAUGUCCUCUUCUGGUGUGUCUGAAGAGAACGACAGUAUACUCACAUACAUAAAAUAAGUAAAUCUUAAAAAAAAAAAAAUAAUAGGACGAAGCUCAUUGAUAGCAUGGUUGCCCAACACACAAAAAUCAUUGGUUUGAUUUCCCAGGACAAUAAACAACAACAGCAGCAACAACAACAACGGAAAUCAAGGAAAUUAUACAACAGCCAAUUCACUCCUGUCUUGGAUGUACUCUACCUUCGAUUCUCAUCAGGUUUCCUGAUUUAAGCAAGAUCUAUCCAUUUCUUAUCCCAACAGCAACCAACAAGAGCAGAGGCUGUGAAACCAUUCGGUGCAGAGGGAAAAGCAGGCAGAGGCUUUGUGUGCCAAGGCUGUGAUGUGUAAGCUCUCCUCAGCCAGUGAAUACUUUUGGUGAUAGGAGUAAAGAGGGCAUUUGAGACAGGGUCUUGCUAUAUAGCACUGGCUGGCUUUGAUCCCCUGAUCCCCAGGAGCCUCCAUCCUCCUGCUUCCACCUCCCAAGCAACAGAUGUUAAGAUUGCACCUCCGUGCCUAGCUCACUAAGAAUACAGUCAUUCUCAUUCUCUCCUCCUCUCCACCUGCCUCUGCUUCUCAAGUGCUGGGAUUAAAGGCGUGCGCCACCAUAUGCCUUAGGGUAUGUGUGUAUGUGUGUGGUGGCUCCUGCUGCAUCUAAGCACUCCCUCUAGGCUGAGGCCAGAGGAUUACAAGUUCUCCUGGUCUUCCUAAGAAGUUCAAGGCCAGGCCAAAAUGUAUACUGAGGCCUUGAGUAUUAAAACUAAACUAAAACCAUGCAAAAGAAUAAAAACGAAAUUCCAAAAUAAAAAAUCUGACAAAAAAAACAAGAAAAAAAAAAAAUCUGAGCAAUUUGAGAAGAAAAAGAACAGUGGCUUUACUAGCUAAAGGGAACCAUUUUUACAUUUCCUAUGAAAAGAUUAGCAUUAAUCUCACUUGAAAUUUAUUAUUAUUAUUGUUAUUAUUUUAGACCAGAGUGCUGAAGAAAAGGUUUAAACGUGAGCUCACACAAUAGUCAGGCAGAACCUUCACUGAUGCGCAGGACUUAAGGCUUCCAAACUGUCCUGGGAUGCUCAAAGCCCAGGCUGCUGGCACGAAGCACAGGUGUCAGGUGUCAAAGCAUCUACUCUGCUCUCUCUACUCGCCCGCGGUGUGCCAGGAGACAGGAAGCAGAUGCUGAGGCUGCUGAGAGUCCUCCACACAGGGAGCCCAGGAGCAGCACCAACUGUGAUUACUGCUGGGUUUCCUGUUUAUUACCCAGUCAGCCUUUCUAACAUAAUACUCACCUUUGCUAGCUGUUCAGCAAAAUGUAUAGCAGUCUGUGUGUGGAGUGUGACUGGUCCUGUUUUUAUUCUGGAAAUUCCAUUGGCUAGCGCCAUGAAAAUAAUUAGCUAUCAAAAAAGAACAAAGAAGAAAAAUCUCAAAAAUAUGCUAAUAUUCAGAUUUACAAAUUCUACAACCACUCACAGGAAAAUGCUAUUAGAAAUCAAAAUAGCUUUUAAAAGAAAUUAAAAGAAUAAUUUCUAUUUUCUUUAUGUUUCUAGAAGCUUCGCACAGUGACUGAGAAAUGUGUUAACCACAGUCUGUGCUUGGUAAAUGCUUAGACAGACUGACUUCUUUUCUUUAGUUUUGUUUUUGUUU
ensembl:lincRNA